CCUGCGGAGGGAUCAUUACUGAGUUACCGCUCUAUAACCCUUUGUGAACAUACCUAACCGUUGCUUCGGCGGGCAGGGGAAGCCUCUCGCGGGCCUCCCCUCCCGGCGCCGGCCCCACCACGGGGACGGGGCGCCCGCCGGAGGAAACCAAACUCUAUUUACACGACGUCUCUUCUGAGUGGCACAAGCAAAUAAUUAAAACUUUUAACAACGGAUCUCUUGGUUCUGGCAUCGAUGAAGAACGCAGCGAAAUGCGAUAAGUAAUGUGAAUUGCAGAAUUCAGUGAAUCAUCGAAUCUUUGAACGCACAUUGCGCUCGCCAGCAUUCUGGCGAGCAUGCCUGUUCGAGCGUCAUUUCAACCCUCAAGCACCGCUUGGUUUUGGGGCCCCACGGCACACGUGGGCCCUUAAAGGUAGUGGCGGACCCUCCCGGAGCCUCCUUUGCGUAGUAACUAACGUCUCGCACUGGGAUUCGGAGGGACUCUUGCCGUAAAACCCCCCAAUUUUUUACAGGUUGACCUCGGAUCAGGUAGGAAUACCCGCUGAACUUAAGCAUAUCAAA
rnacentral:rRNA from 1 species